ACACACCCUCAGCUCAAAUUUGCUUUGAAGGUCAGUAGUUUCCACUCCUUCUUUUCAAAACAACUGCACAGUUCUUCUGGGACCCAAAUGUUGAUUCUCUUCACUGAGGAAUGAGUUUCCCUCAACAACAAAUACAUUCCAGAAAUAUCCAUCCAACAUCUCUGAUGGGCCAAUGAUGAGCCAAGUCUGGUCCUCGUCCCCAGGGCACUCCCACCAGUGAGAGCCCAGCCAAUGUGUGCCACAUACCCCAAUGGACAAGGAGGUCAGAGGUGCUUCUCCUUCUCCUGUUCUUCACCUGGGAGCCAUGGGAAGGCAUGCUUCCCCUGGGUGGGGUCACAGUAGAAAAGAAAUUUGAGCUAAGUACUGAAGGAAGAGGUGGAUUUUAACGAACAGAGGUGGUCAGGGAAGGGUCUACCAGAUGGAUGGAACAGCUUAGGCAGAGGAGGAGAGGCUGGACAAGUGGGUAGCAUUUUUGAGGACUGUCUGGUGGUCUGUUGGGGCUGGUACCUAAGUCUGUGGUUCUAUCGAGGUGGGGCUUGUGUGAUGAGAUGAAACUGGACAGAUGUGUGGAUUGAGGUCACAUUAGGGUGGACUUUGAAGAGCUUGCUGAGGAGCUGGACUUUAUCCCAAAAGGAAUGGGGCCCUUUUUGGAGGGUUUGAAGCAGAGCUGAGGUUGAGAUGCCUUCCACUGGCGUGGCGAGGUAGGGUGUGGACUGUAGAGAGAGACUGUGGAGGUUGGGGGCUAACUAGGAAGGGGUCAAAUGCGAGGUGAAAGGAAAUGCAAAUCUGACUCAGAGCAGAGGCGGUGGAAGGAGGGAGAAGAACAAAGUCUGGGGGCAGUUUCUUCUCAAAAGGUCCUCACUGUAUCAGGGGCUUUGCUUGGGUGCUGGGCGGGGUUGUUGAAGGAUCACCAGGUUGGCGGCAUCGGGAGCUGAGGAGGUCAGUUUUGAAACCAAUGUCAUGUUUUUGUAUUUUUUCAUUUGGAAAUAGUUUUAGAUGCACAGGAAGUUGCAAAGAGAGCACAGCACAGAGUGGUCUUUACCCGGUUUCCCCCAGUGGUUACAGUUUGCUGAAUUUAAGGAUGAUAUCAAAAGAGACCAGUGGCAUUUGACUUCACGCCCUCCCAGCCCCUGCCUGGUGAGCUCGUGGGUCUUUGUGAGGCCUGUGAGGCAUGAGCUGUGGCUCCUUUGGCAGGUCAGCUUUCUGAAGUGCCGGCCUGUCCCAGCCGCUGCCAUCCUUUCCUGGAGAUGUAGAGUCUCGGCAGGCCCAGCAGGGCAGGGAGGCCUCAGGAGCUUCUGCCCACAAGCAGGUGCUGGCUGAACUUG
rnacentral:lncRNA from 1 species